GAUUGAACGCUGGCGGCAUGCCUUACACAUGCAAGUCGAACGGUAACGCGGGGCAACCUGGCGACGAGUGGCGAACGGGUGAGUAAUAUAUCGGAACGUGCCCAGUUGUGGGGGAUAACUGCUCGAAAGAGCAGCUAAUACCGCAUACGACCUGAGGGUGAAAGCGGGGGAUCGCAAGACCUCGCGCAAUUGGAGCGGCCGAUAUCAGAUUAGGUAGUUGGUGGGGUAAAGGCCUACCAAGCCGACGAUCUGUAGCUGGUCUGAGAGGACGACCAGCCACACUGGGACUGAGACACGGCCCAGACUCCUACGGGAGGCAGCAGUGGGGAAUUUUGGACAAUGGGGGCAACCCUGAUCCAGCCAUGCCGCGUGCGGGAAGAAGGCCUUCGGGUUGUAAACCGCUUUUGUCAGGGAAGAAAAGACUCCUACUAAUACCUGGG
rnacentral:rRNA from 1 species